rnacentral:lncRNA from 1 species
GAGGAUGAGGUCCAGGAUCUCGGUGAGGGCGGCAGGAGAGGCGGAGGAUGCCGCCACCAUAGGCAUCUCCUCCCUCUGUCGGCCAUGCCUCCUCCAUCUUGAGGCCUAAGCAUGGAGGAGAGGAAGAGAAGAGGGACGUCGGGUGUCUCAAUGGGGGCAACGAGAGGGGCGAGGAUGCCACCGCCAAAGGCAUCUCCUCCCUUUGCCAGCCAUGCCUCCUCCUCCUCCGUCUUGAUGCCCGAGC